rnacentral:rRNA from 1 species
GACGAACGCUGGCGGCGUGCCUAAUACAUGCAAGUCGAGCGCAGGAAACUGACGGAACUCUUCGGAGGGAAGGCAGUGGAAUGAGCGGCGGACGGGUGAGUAACACGUAAGGAACCUGCCUCAAGGACUGGGAUAACUCCGAGAAAUCGGAGUUAAUACCGGAUAGUUCAACGGACCGCAUGGUCUGCUGAUGAAAGGCGCUCCGGCGUCACCUUGAGAGGGCCCUGCGGUGCAUUAGCUAGUUGGUGGGGUAACGGCCCACCAAGGCGACGAUGCAUAGCCGACCGGAGAGGGUGAUCGGCCACACUGGGACUGAGACACGGCCCAGACUCCUACGGGAGGCAGCAGUAGGGAAUCUUCCACAAUGGACGAAAGUCUGAUGGAGCAACGCCGCGUGAGUGAUGAAGGUUUUCGGAUCGUAAAACUCUGUUGUAAGGGAAGAACACGUACGAGAGGAAAUGCUCGUACCUUGACGGUACCUUACGAGAAAGCCACGGCUAACUACGUGCCAGCCGCCGCGGUAACAC